GUUUCGGCUGGUGGACACCUCCUUCCCAAGUCCUUUCCACUCCUCUCCAUUACUUUCUACGACAUAACUCCAGUCCGCUACUUUCUGCCUUGUUCUAAAUACUUUCUCUGCCAAGGCCUUGACUUCACUUUUUGGAAAGUGGUUACAAAUGGCGCUUGCACCACUCGCUAGAGGUUCCUCCAGCUCAACAGCAGCUGAAGGAAAGGAAGCUGUCAGGACAUUGUGAGCAACCCUAGACAAAGACAACAAAACCGGACACUGACGGAGAGAGGAGGAUAGAGACUCUAUAGAAACACAGGGACCGGAAAUUAGCCCUGCAUAAUCCCUGGGAUUCUAAAAGUAUGUGGGCCUCUCACUGUUGUGGCCUCUCCCGUUGCGGAGCACAGGGUCCGGACGCGCAGGCCCAGCGGCCAUGGUUCACGGGCCUAGCCGCUCCGCGGCAUGUGGAAUCUUCCCAGACUGGGGCAUGAACCCGUGUCCCCUGCAUUGGCAGGCAGACUCUCAACUACUGCGCCACCAGGGAAGCCCAAUAUAAAACUUUUUUAUGCUGUGUGUGUAUGUGUGUGUGUGUGUGUAUAUAUAUAUAUAUAUAUAUAUAUAUACACACACAAAAAAAAAACCCCAUAUCUUUCUUUUUUUAGGAGACUAUUCUCUUUAUUAUAAUAUCUAAAUACAACAUGCAAAAGAAACAUUAUCUCUGUGUUAAAUACUAGGCAGCAUUAUUAUCAGCUUCUGUAGUUUUUAUUAUUUGCUCAAAUGCUAGUUUAAAGCUCAGUUUAAUAGAAAGCUAUGAAUCAUUUUCUGAAUUCUUCAGUUUGCCUACAUGUAUGCUUUUGGGUUAUGUAUUUUUCUGACUGACAGGUGGGGAGGUAAUGCACAUAUGCAUCAUUAAGGUAAUAUCACCUCAACAAAGUUGUCCAGCAAAAGGACUGAAAACUCCCCUGGAUUUAGCAAUUAUUUAUGAAUAUGUUGAAAUAAGAUCUGACUAAAUGUUAUAAUCAGUAAUCAUACAAGGAGAAUACUUGACAGGCAUGCUUGAUGUAGAUGUUGAAGGCCAUUUUGUACACACACAUAAAAGAAUAUGUAUUAUCAGUUCUUAUAUAAGAAGAAUAUGUACUAAAUGUCUAGAAUGUGAACUGUGCAGGGUUUGACUAGAUAGAAAAGUUCAGCAAAAAAGAGAUGUGACAGGUCCUGGUGGCUGAAGGAUGUCCACUGCUGGGAGGUGAAUAAUCAAACCACAGACUUGUGGGAAACAGUCCGCAUUUGUAAAAGAGGAUGUCACUGGGCUGGGCCAAACAAGAGCUCUCACAUGUGAUAGGUUAAUGAGAAAAUGGAAGGGAAGAGUGCUCCUGCAAAAAGACAAACAAACAAAAAACGAGAACACACUAUACACCAUGUUCCCUGGUGGCCAUGACACUAAAGGAAAUAGAUAAAUGGACCCAAGACUGUGUACGUCUUCGGUGUGGUGAAAGGUGACCUGUGACUCUCAAAGCCACUGGGUCCAACAGUGACUGAUGGAAAAAGAUUCUGGAAAAGAAGCAUGUGGAAUAAGCUGAGUCUGCCUCAUAAAAAGUUCAUUUGAUGUAUCAAGAGGCUCCAGAAAUAAACUAAACUAAAUCAGCAAUAUAAAACAAAGAUAGAACCCCCCUCCUCUGUGCACUCACUCUUGUACUUAUCUCAAUCACUGUACUUAACGGACUGCAUCUUAUUUCCCUACACAUUUGCUUUCUUUUGAGAGUGUAAGCAACUUGUGGGAAGAGAAUGUGUCCCCAGCCAAGUCUGGCACACAGUAGGCCCUCAAUAAUGUUUAUUAAAUGAUAAAUCAAUGCCUAAGUCAUUUUUAAAAAGAAAAAUUAACUCAAGGGGUAAUUUUUUGUCUUGUCUUGCCAUAUACCCUUUCUUUCUAUUCUGCCAUAUAUAACUUUAAAAUAUCCUUGAAAACUCAAAGUGUUUCAGUGUUUAUACCGUGACCAACGGAGUUCUAUCUGGUUCUGCUCUAGAGAGCCAAGAGCAACAAACCAUGAAGAAGCAGAACCAACUACACAUUCCACCAGUAAUUUCAGAGGCAGCCUGAAUACAUUCCAUCAACGAUUCCCACUAUGCAGCUUCAGAGAUGUUUAAAUGGGAUCAAGGAGAUGUUCCCUGACCAGGGAUAGAACCUGGGAGCCCAGCAGUGGAAGCACGGAGUCCUAACCACUGGACCACCAAGGAAUUGCCAUUAUUUAAUUAAUUAAUUAAUUAUUUUUUUAAAAAGCAAGUUAUGAAGGAGUAUUCACAGUAUGAUUCUUUUUUGGUUUCAGACAUAUAUACAUUACAAGAUUACCAAAAAAACACACUGAGGUGAUAACAGUUAAUUCCAUGCAGGAGGACUAUGAGUAUUUUAAACUUUCUCUGUUUAUCAUUAUUUCCUAAUUCUUCUGUAAUGAAAAUGAAUUGCUUUGCAUUUUUAAAAAAAAGUUAUUUACAGUUAAAAGGAAUAAUUUUGUACAGAGCUUAAUGAUCCUGAAAAACAAAUCUGUAGAAAUGAAUAGGAUUUCAGUCAAUAUAGUCUGAAAAAAUACUCAAAGUUUCCAACAUAGUAUGCUACUUUUCUAAGCUAAAUGUCCAACAAUCGCUGUAUUGUUUUACAAUGGCAUGUGAUUUCACAGAUAUUUUCAAAUGUUAUUAUUUUAAAGUUGAUAAAAGUGAGGCCCAGAGAGGUUAAGUAAUUUGCUCACUAUCAUAACCACCAGUUAGUAGUGGAAUUUCACUCUUACUAGUAGCAGAACAAGAUUGUGAUCUCAAAUCUAGUCUUCUCUCUACAAACAGGGACCAAAAUCACAGCACAAUCAAAGGUUCUAUGAGCUUUCUUUAUCACCCUGUUCUUUGCUUUAUUUGCUUACUAUCUGCAUUUCAAUGAGAACAAUGUACCAUUUGGGGAAACUCUCUUCAAAAUAAUACAUUGUAGUUACUACUGGAGCCUGUAGUUUUAAAAUUCUUAAUAGAUUCCUGCUAGCAUAUUUGUAUCAAAUAUAGGAGGUAUUGCUGAGGCUGAGUUAUCACAGAACUGCCUAAUUCAGCUUGUCCAAGACAUCUAAAACCCCGAGUAAUUUUUAGAAUAUUUAUUUUGAGUUUCUUGAAUAAUGGCUAUACUGGACUCUGUUUUUAUAGUCUGUCAUUUACUAAUAAAAAGAACAUCUCCUUUCUCACAAUUAAAUCUUUCAUUUGUUUCUUGAUCUGUUGAUGAUGUAAUGUUAAAUAGUAAUAAUAGAAAAAAAUUACUGUCUUAUUUUGACCCAUGUUAGAAAAACCUUUGGAGUUUCACCUAAAUAUGUGAUGUUUAUUGGUUAGAAGUAAAAGGAAAUAUCCUCAAUAUGACAAAGAAUGAUUCUUUUUAAAAAAAAUAUUUAUUUAUUUAAAUUUAUUUGGUUGCCCCAGGUCUUAAUUGCGGCAGGCGGGCUCCUUAGUUGUGGCAUGUGGGCUCCUUAGUUGUGGUAUGCAAACUCUUAGUUUCAGCAUGCAUGUGGGAUCUAGUUCCCUGACCAGGGAUCAAACCUGGGCUCCCUGCAUUGGGAGCCUGGGGUCUUAACCACUGUGCCACCAGGGAAGUCCCAAGAAUGAUUCUUAAUGAACCAAGACUAAAGAUAAACAAAUAUUAGGAUAACAAAAUAUAUUAUCUUUUUAAAUUUAUUCAUAUCAGUUUUACAUCUGUCUGCAUUAAAUAAUUCUUGUAUUGCUGAGAUGAACUCUGGUCAGUCAUGGUUUAUCUAACACACAUUGCUCAAUUUGAGUAGCAGUUCAUUUCCUUUUAAUAAACUGCUGAAUUUGAUAAGCUAAUUAAAUAUAGAACAUUUUUAUUAUAUUUAUAAAAUUAUGUAUAAUUUUUUUGUGCUUUGUUGAUCUUUAAGUUGGGUAAAUUUCACAGAAUUGUAAAAUUUUAAGUUAUAAAGGAACUAAGAUGGUAUCAUUUGCUACAACUUAUUAUUCUGCAGAUAAGGAAAUCACGACCAGAAAGGUAAAAGUAACUUGCCAAAGGCAACAGAUCUCUGGCUAAGCAAGGUCCAGCAUCCCCAGGCCUUUAUCUAAAUGAAUAACAGAUUUUUGUGAAUGCCUAUUCAAAAGCAAAGAAUACUCUGCAUAGGAAUAAAAUGAAUUAAUUUAUAAUUAAAUCAUGCAAAAAACAUUUGGAUGAUUACAAUUAAUAACUAUUAAUAUGACCACUUAAUUUUUAAGGUGAAGAAAGUACUAUAUAGUAGCCAUACCUGUGAUUUUAAUAUUACAAGGAAUGCCAAAAGGAGCCUCUCCUACAGUUCCAGUAGUCCCACCCCAUCUGCAUGCACACCCUAAGUCAAGUUUCUGUUGCAUGAACUAAAAACAAAACAAAACAAAAAUGGUGGCUUUAGCACCUACUUAUUUGCUGUCUGGAGAGAGAAAAAAAUCAAAUUCACAUGUAUAUGACAGAGGAAAUGUCUUUAUUUAUUCAAGGGCCUUUCUGUUUAUCGUCCCACCCCUCUUUUAAAGGUUACUUUGCCUUUCUGCAUUUGUACAGUUUUGUAGAGUUGAAAUCUACACAGUGCCUUAUUUUAAAAACAUCUCAUUAAAAAAUU